UACGGGAGGCAGCAGUGGGGAAUAUUGCACAAUGGGCGCAAGCCUGAUGCAGCCAUGCCGCGUGUAUGAAAAAGGCCUUCGGGUUGUAAAGUACUUUCAGUCGUGAGGAAGGUGUUAAGGUUAAUAACCUUAGCAAUUGACGUUAGCGACAGAAGAAGCACCGGCUAACUCCGUGCCAGCAGCCGCGGUAAUACGGAGGGUGCGAGCGUUAAUCGGAAUUACUGGGCGUAAAGGGCACGCAGGCGGUUAAUUAAGUUGGAUGUGAAAUCCCCGGGCUUAACCUGGGAAUGGCAUUCAAGACUGGUUAGCUAGAGUCUUGUAGAGGGGGUAGAAUUCCAUGUGUAGCGGUGAAAUGCGUAGAGAUGUGGAGGAAUACCGGUGGCGAAGGCGGCCCCUGGGACAAAGACUGACGCUCAUGUGCGAAAGCGUGGGGAGCAAACAGGGAUUAGAACC
rnacentral:rRNA from 1 species